CAAUUUUUCUCAUUUCAAAUUUCAUAAAUAAAAAAGAAAAUUUCUUCAAACAUUUUUUUGAGAGGAUUAAUAUUCAACAGCAUAGUGAAUUGCUCUAAGAGAAAACAAAAAUUUUAAGUUCAUUAGAACACAUUCAUUCUGUGUCAGAAACCUAUGCUGUGUCAACUAUUUAAUCACAAUCCAAAUUUAGAGCUGAAUCCAGCUUGAAUGUUGUGUCCAUACUUGCCCCAACCGUUCAGGGUUCAACCUCUGCGGUCGUAUAAAGCUGCGCCC
rnacentral:lncRNA from 1 species